CGAGAAAGGAGCGACCCAUCAGCAGGCGAGAAUGCAGAUGGAGCUAUUAUUGUCUCCCAUUUGGUGAGCUAUUUUGGAGUACUCGUAAAAGUACCUUUCUUUGUCCCAGUUCUACUCAAACAGCUUGGCUUCAUUUUGUAGAAUUUAGUGGAUCUUGCUGGAUCAGAGAGAGUAAGCCAAACAGGGGCUGAAGGUAAGCUGGAUUCCAACAUGUUAGGUUACAUGCAUUAAAAUGUCGAACAGUAGAUGACUAUACUUUGUUACUCAUGGCUUUUUUAAUGAUCUAGGUGCACGUUUCAAAGAGGGGUGCAAUAUAAACCGCAGCUUAUUCACACUGGGUCAAGUGAUCAAAAAGUUGACAGAUGAAAGCCAAAAAGGUUUCACCAAUUACAGAGACAGCAAGCUGACCCGCAUCCUGCAGAACUCUUUGGGGGGCAAUGCUAAGACGGGCAUCAUCUGCACCGUCACCUCUGUUGAACUGGAGAACACCCUCAGCACUCUCCAGGUAUUGCAUUGUACACCUGAUAACGCUGCACAAUAAAACAUGGGUUAACACUAAAGACUAAUAUGUUAUGGGAUGGAUGUGUGGAUUUCUUGAUCAAGACUAUACAUGUUGAAGGCAGUGAGCGUUUCAGGCUUAUACAGAUUAUGGAUAAGAUUAAGCAAAUUGAUUUUACUUAAACUUGGUUUGAUUUUCAGUUUGCGAGUACAGCAAAAAAGAUGAAGAAUGACCCGCAUGUAACUGAGGUGUCGGAUGAUGGAGCUCUGCUCAAAAGGUAUCGCAAUGAGAUCACUGACCUCAAGCGUCGUCUUCAAGAGGUGUCUUCAGUAACACACACUACAGCAACAGAGAAGGAAGUUCUUUCCCAGCUGCUUCAGGAAAAGGAAAUGCUCCAGAGAGAGCAAGAAGACCGAAUUAGGAACCUGACUCAACUGCUCGUCACCAGCUCAAACCAGGUCCCCAUCAAAAAGGUAAGCAGAUGAGGAAUGAAGGAUGAUUGCUUUAUGUCCUGAUGGCAAUGACAACAUUUUGGUUUCAUUUUGUUUUCAGAUGCCCAAACGCAGAGUUACAUGGGGAGGAAACACGUUUGCGUUGGCUAGUCGUCCUGCGUGUGACACAGAUGCAUCCAACCUCAGUCUGUUAGAAUCUUUCUCUCGGAAGAGGAAGGCUGAAACUCUGUCUGAUCUCUGUGAAGAAGAUGACUUUGACUCACAUUGGGCAAUUCCUGAAGAGUCCCCAGAAGACUUAGAAAUGAGCCGCUCUGUGACCGUCCGCAACUAUGAAUACAGACUCAGAAGCCCGAUUUCUCCUGAGUGGAUGGCUAAAACUUCAGGUAAUGAGUCAAGCCUGGAGAUGGAGCGUCAACAGAAAGACCAGGCCUUGACUAAGCUGGAAGCAAUGAGUGCCCAAGUGAACCAACUGCAGCUUCAGCUAGAAGCUCAGGAAUCAGAGGGCACCUUGGGAAAGUCACAAGCGGCAGAGCUGGAAGAGCUACUGCAGGCAGAAGCCCAGCAGAAACACGAGGCCAUGGAGAAGGUGCAGAUGUUGGAGUUAAAGCUGGCAGAUCUGGAGCAACAAAACUUUUCUCUGAGUGGAAGUGAUGAGCAGACAAGAAGAGAGUUUGCUGAGACCAUUCAGCUGUGUGAGACUUUAGCUUCAGAGAAAGAGCUGGUGAUUGCCGAGCGGGACUACCUGAAGGAAGAGCUGCAGAUGUUCGUUGAGCAAAAGGAGAUUCUGGAGCAGGAGAAAGCUGCUCUGUCACAGGAGCUUAGAGAGAAAAAGGAGAUGGAUGAGUUUCAAGCUCUGGAGAAUCAGUUCAGAAAGGAGCACGAGAAUGAGUUAAAAAAUGAAAUAUCCAGUAUGAAGAAGACUCUGGAAUCCUCAGCAACCCAGUGCCUGCAGCUUCAGGUAAGCUCACAUCGGACUAACUUUAUUCAGCCCAAAAAAGGCUAAAAAAGUUAAUGUGGCCAACAGUGUGAAAACUAACCUUCCCUCA
rnacentral:lncRNA from 1 species